UAUUUUUGUACGUGGCCUAUUUUUGUAGGAAGUCGUAUGGUUCCUUCUCCACGUUUGAGCCAUAUGGUUCUUCUCUCACGUUUGAAUUUUGUGAUCCUCAAUUUUGAAUUUUGAAUGGACUUAUCCAUUUCAAUUAGUGGUUGUUUUCACUAUUUUAUAUUGAUAUCAUGUGAAAUAAUUAGACGUAUUCCCUAUUUUCGGAGGCUUGAGGCUGAUACGUUCAGAAGGUUUUAUCGAGAUUCUCUAUAACGUCUACCUAGCUAUCUGUGGACUUCAUGGAAGGAGCUAUUGCUGGGAGACGUACCCAUAAUGAUAUUACUGCUUCUAUUCCCAUUUUUUAGAACACUUCAUUUUCUGAAUUGUGCAACCAGGUUAGCUCAAGGUUCAAUGGUUUGGUAGUUGAUUCAUUUAACCUUACAUAUGCUAUGAAUGGAUGCGCAUAUUGUCUUUUGGAAUGUGACAUGGAUGUGCGUGUAUUGCACAUGUUUGUAACGAAGGAGAACACAUAUUUUGUUGAUAUAUUUCAUGAACUAAACAAUCAAUAUGAGUCUGUGUAACAUUAAGUAA